GAGUUUGAUCUUGGCUCAGAUUGAACGCUGGCGGCAUGCCUUACACAUGCAAGUCGAACGGCAGCGCGGGGCAACCUGGCGGCGAGUGGCGAACGGGUGAGUAAUAUAUCGGAACGUACCCUGGAGUGGGGGAUAACGUAGCGAAAGUUACGCUAAUACCGCAUACGAUCUAAGGAUGAAAGUGGGGGACGCGCAAGCACCUCAUGCUCCUGGAGCGGCCGAUAUCUGAUUAGCUAGUUGGUGGGGUAAAGGCCUACCAAGGCAUCGAUCAGUAGCUGGUCUGAGAGGACGACCAGCCACACUGGAACUGAGACACGGUCCAGACUCCUACGGGAGGCAGCAGUGGGGAAUUUUGGGCAAUGGGCGAAAGCCUGAUCCAGCAAUGCCGCGUGAGUGAAGAAGGCCUCGGUUGUAAG
rnacentral:rRNA from 1 species